GGGGUGCUCGGGUGGCGAACGGGUGAGUAACACGUGAGUAACCUGCCCUUGACUUUGGGAUAACUUCAGGAAACUGGGGCUAAUACCGGAUAGGAGCUCCUGCUGCAUGGUGGGGGUUGGAAAGUUUCGGCGGUUGGGGAUGGACUCGCGGCUUAUCAGCUUGUUGGUGGGGUAGCGGCUUACCAAGGCUUUGACGGGUAGCCGGCCUGAGAGGGUGACCGGCCACAUUGGGACUGAGAUACGGCCCAG
rnacentral:rRNA from 1 species